rnacentral:rRNA from 1 species
AACACAUGCAAGUCGAGGGGCAGCAUUGGAGUAGCAAUACUCAGAUGGCGACCGGCGCACGGGUGAGUAACACGUAUCCAACCUGCCGCUUACUCGGGGAUAGCCUUUCGAAAGAAAGAUUAAUACCCGAUGGUAUAAAGAGUUCGCAUGUUCUCUUUAUUAAAGAAUUUCGGUAAGCGAUGGGGAUGCGUUCCAUUAGAUAGUUGGCGGGGUAACGGCCCACCAAGUCUACGAUGGAUAGGGGUUCUGAGAGGAAGGUCCCCCACAUUGGAACUGAGACACGGUCCAAACUCCUACGGGAGGCAGCAGUGAGGAAUAUUGGUCAAUGGACGAGAGUCUGAACCAGCCAAGUAGCGUGAAGGAUGACUGCCCUAUGGGUUGUAAACUUCUUUUAUAAGGGAAUAAAGUGAGGGACGUGCCCCUUUUUGUAUGUACCUUAUGAAUAAGGAUCGGCUAACUCCGUGCCAGCAGCCGC